UGGGGAGUAUUGGACAAUGGGCGAAAGCCUGAUCCAGCAAUGCCGCGUGGGUGAAGAAGGUCUUCGGAUUGUAAAGCCCUUUCGGCGGGGACGAUGAUGACGGUACCCGCAGGAGAAGCCCCGGCUAACUUCGUGCCAGCAGCCGCGGUAAUACGAAGGGGGCUAGCGUUGCUCGGAAUGACUGGGCGUAAAGGGCGCGUAGGCGGCCAUUUUUGUCAGGCGUGAAAGUCCUGGGCUCAACCUGGGGACGGCGCUUGGGACGGGAUGGCUUGAGUGGGGAAGAGGGUCGUGGAAUUCCCAGUGUAGAGGUGAAAUUCGUAGAUAUUGGGAAGAACACCGGUGGCGAAGGCGGCGACCUGGUCCUUUACUGACGCUGAGGCGCGAGAGCGUGGGGAGCAAACAGGAUUAGAUACCCUGGUAGUCCACGCCGUAAACGAUGUGCGCUGGAUGUUGGGGGGCCUAGCCCUUCAGUGUCGCAGCUAACGCGGUAAGCGCACCGCCUGGGGAGUACGGCCGCAAGGUUGAAACUCAAA
rnacentral:rRNA from 1 species